rnacentral:rRNA from 1 species
AUUAGAGUUUGAUCCUGGCUCAGGAUGAACGCUAGCUACAGGCUUAACACAUGCAAGUCGAGGGGCAUCAUGUCGGUUGCUUGCAACCGAUGAUGGCGACCGGCGCACGGGUGAGUAACGCGUAUGCAACCUACCUACUACAAGAGGAUAACCCGUUGAAAGGCGGACUAAGACUCUAUAACACAGGGGAUCCGCAUGGAUAUACUUGUUAAAGAUAAAGCGGUAGUAGAUGGGCAUGCGUUCCAUUAGCUUGUUGGUGGGGUAACGGCUCACCAAGGCAACGAUGGAUAGGGGAACUGAGAGGUUGGUCCCCCACACUGGAACUGAGACACGGUCCAGACUCCUACGGGAGGCAGCAGUGAGGAAUAUUGGUCAAUGGACGCAAGUCUGAACCAGCCACGUCGCGUGAAGGAAGACGGCCCUACGGGUUGUAAACUUCUUUUAUACGGGAAUAAAGUGCCCCACGUGUGGGGUUUUGCAUGUACCGUAUGAAUAAGGAUCGGCUAACUCCGUGCCAGCAGCCGCGGUAAUAAU